AACCCUUACCUAUUGUAAUCUGUUCAGUGAACUCAAAAUUUUUUUUUCCGUUUGUUUGCAUCCUAUAAUAUUUCCUUAAGCAGUGGUUUGUAGUUCUCCUUGAGGAGGUAUGAUGAGUUAAUGGGUGCAGCACACCAGCAUGGCACAUGUAUACAUAUGUAACAAACCUGCACAUUGUGCACAUGUACCCUAAAACUUAAAGUAUAAUAAUAAUAAAAUAAAAUUACAAACAAACAAACAAACAAACAAACCCAGAGUCCUUGCCACUUUCUCUCUUCCUAUUCGUAUGCCUUUUAUUUGUUUCUCUUUCCUGACUUCUCUGGCCAGGACUUCCAGUACUAUGUUGAAUAGGAGUGGUGAGAGAGGGCAUCCUUGUCUUGUCCCAGUUCUCAAGAGGAAUGCUUUCAGCUUUUGCUCAUUCAGUAUGGUGUUGGCUGUGGGUUUAUCAUAUGUGGCUCUCAUUAUUUUGAGGUACAUUUCUUCAGUGCCUAGUUUGCUGAGGUUUUUUAACAUGAAGCGAUAUGGAAUUUUAGUGAAAGCAUUUUCUGCAUCUAUUGAGAUGAUCAUUUGAUUUUUGUUUUUAGUUCUGUUUCUGUGAUGAAUCACAUUUAUUGAUUUGAAUAUGUUGAACCAACCUUGCAUCCCAAAAAUAAAGCCUACUUGAUCAUGGUGGACUAGCUUUUUGGUGUGCUACUGGAUUUGGUUUGCUAGUAUUUUGUUGAGGAUUUUGGUGUCUAUGUUCAUCAGGGAUAUUGGCCUGAAAUUUUCUUUGUUUAUUAUGUCUUCCAGGUUUUGGUAUCAGAAUGAUGCUGCCUCAUAGAAUGAGUUAGGGAGGAGUCCCUCCUCCUUGAUGUUUUGGAAUAGUUUCAGUAGUAUUGGUACCAACUCUUCUUCUUCUUUUUUUUUUUUGAGACAGGGUCUCACUCUAUCACCCACGCUGGAGUGCAGUGGUGCAAUCACAGCUCACUUCAGCCUCAAACUCCCAGGCAUAGGUGAGCCCCCCAGGUAGCUGGGACUAUAGGUAUACACCACUACACCUGGAUAAUUUUAGUAUUUUUUGUAGAGAGGGGGUUUCAUCAUGUUGCCCAGGCUGGUCUCAAACUCCUGAGCUCAAGUGAUCUGCUUGCCGUGACCUCCCAAAGUCUUGGGAUUAUAGGUGUGAGCCACCACACCUGGCCCAGCUCUUCUUUAUACAUCUGUGAAUCCACCGGGUCCUGGGCUCUUUCUGGUUGGUUGAUUUAUUACAGAUUUAAUUUUGGAACUUGUUAUUGGUUUGUUCAGAGUUUCAAUUUCUUCCUGAUUCAAUCUUGAAAAGUUGUAUGUUUUCAGAAAUACAUCCAUGUCUUCUAGAUAUUCUAGUUUGUGUACAUAGA
rnacentral:lncRNA from 1 species